UGCUCCUUACUUUGUAGGAAAUAGUUGUUUUUUCUUAUCUAAUAGAAAUUCUAAAAAUCCCACGACCAAUUUCGAUUCACGAACCCAAAUUCUUAAAUUCUCCCCUAGGUUUGGUAUCAAAAUAGAAUCCCUUUUUUUUAUAAAUAACGGUUUCAUUUUCAAUUCCCUUCCAUUUUGAAUUUAAACUUAAGUUUUUGCCAGUUUUUUUAUAACCAAUAGGUGUCUGGGUUAACUUGCGCGCAAUUCAACUAGUUCGAUAGGAUAGCUUCCACUUCCCACCCACCAUCAACACAGGUAUCAUAAUUUUUUUUCCAACUUUUAGCAUCUGGAUUUUGUAUUUUUAAAUAGGAAAUUUGAGUUUUGGUCAGCUUUUAGCUGCUGGGUUUUGUUUUAUUGGGUCCUAUUUCUACUUUUGGAGCUCUUCUUCUAUGGUGAUUGGAAGUUUUAAAUUCUAACCAGGUAUGUGCUUGUCUAAGUACUCCUUGCUGUUUUCUUGGAUGUUAAAAUGCUGAAGGAAAUUGACGUUUUUUUUGCUCAUUUCUUUGCAACGAAAUAGCCCAUAUGGAGCCAAAUGGAUUUUUGGAGAUUCAUAAAGCUUCCUUGUUCCUGAAAAAAACAUAGUUUACUUGAUGGUGGAGUAUUUCUUGUUUGAUUAAGGUCUUUUAUGGCAUCUGAAAUAGAAUCAAAUAUUAUUAUUUGAUAUCUAGUUAGAAUUAUGCAGGUAAUAGUAAUGCAAGUUUCAGGUAUGAAGAUAUUAGUUAUUCCAUUUUCUACUCUGCAUAAGAUAAAAACACACAAAUUCCUUCAUGACUUAUACAUGUAUAGUUAUGUGGAUUUCUAAAUUGCAAAUCAAAUGUUGUAUUGAUGGUAUACAUGAAUAAUUUAUUUCUGGAUUAGCUACCAAACAUUGUAUAACUUAUACAAAAAUUAAUACAUAAAUAAGUUGGUUCUUUACUAGCUACCAGACGACCACUAUUAUUUUCUUGGUUGAUGUUUCACGAAUACCACAUAGGUAUGGUUUGUGCAGGAAAUGUCACUCAUUAAUAAGUGGAUAGUAUAAAAUAUUAAAGCAGCUUGUUGCAUUAAACUCCUUGUAUAUGCGAGGUUCGGGGAAGGGGCAGAGCACGUUGAGUCUAUUGUGCACCACAUUACUUCGCAUUUCUACAAUUGCGAAACAUUAAAGUGAAAUUAAGAUAUCAGCAGUAUGAAAGAAGGUGAUCAAUAGGAUUAAUAAAUUGCAAAUCACCAUAUUUUGUCCAAUAAUUUGGUUGAAAUAUCCUAGAAUCAUUUUGUUAUCAAAAAAAUAUCUUGGAAUCAUUUUGGCCUAGUGUUCUCAUUCGGGCAGUUCAGAGUAUUCCCUUUUUCACAUCGCCCAAAAAAUUAACUACAACUAAGUUAGUCACAUAUUCACAUUCGAACAGCACAUUGUUUAUUUCUUAUUAUUCUCUAACAUUAAGAAUAUUCUCUUUACCUAACGGGUCCACUCACAAUCCCUAUAUAAGAAUUUCUCUGUAGCCUAAUUGUUGGAGCAAGCUAUUACUUUCUUUUGAUGAUGCAAUUCUAAGUGCAUCUUCAGUUGGUGUUGUCACCUAAUGUCUUAUUCUGCAAGGGGCAAGCUGAAUUAAUAGUGAGAAUCCUUGUCCUUCUAUGCUGAAAACAUGAUGAGCUUCAAGGACUGGGUACUGUCAUAGUUGAUAACCAAGUCGGUAGCCUCAUCAAGACCACUUUUAGCAUCAUAUAACUUCUUAACAGAGGAACAUUCUGAUCAAGAGUUUGGAUCACCUAGCUCACACUGCUGAUUUGGUUACAACAACUACAUUAGCCAAUAUAAUCCAAUCUUCCAAUGGUGAUCAGGAGAAUACAAAUAAUUUCUGAUCACAACCACGGAUGGAUGAAGAUUCUUUUCAGUUGGAUUCUAGGGUUGGUAGAAGCCUAGUCCAGUGGUAAAGAUUGAAGCCCUUCAUAUUAAGUUCUUGUGACUUCUUAAAUGUUUUGGUGUGUCUGAGGACAACCCUUUGGCAUCAAAGCUCUUAUACCAGAUCCAACUGCAUUACUAGAUACGGGAAAGAGAGUCAGAUUUGAAAAGGUCAAACCGUAAAAUUGAGAGAGCUCAUGUAAUAGCAGCAGAAUAAGAAGCUACUGGUCGACCAUAAUUGGAUUUCUCAUUUAAGAUCCUUGUACUGGGUAGAAUUGGAGUUGGCAAGAGUUUAACUAUAAAUUCCAUUUUUGGCCAAUCAAGAGCAACAACCAAGGUGUUCAAGCCUACUACUGACCAUAUUUAAGAGAUUUUGGGAAUGGUAAAUGGAAUUAGAGAAUCUUCUAUUUACACUCCUGGUUAUUGCCUCCCUCAUCCAGUUAUGUCCGAAAAAACAAGAAGAUUUUGCAUUCUGUACAAAAAUUUUAAACGAAACAAAUGCCUGGUAUGGUACUGUAUUUUGAGCAUGUGGAUUUAAUCAACAUGGAUUAGAGUGAUUUCCUUUUGUUAAAGCUUAUAAUGGAAGUAUUUAGUCCUGCAAUUUUUGU